rnacentral:lncRNA from 1 species
UCAUAACCAUUGAUUUUAAAUUUUGACAUGGCUUCUCUUGGUAGUAGAAAUGGACCAGGAGGGUGCAAUCUCAGUGUUUCUUUUAUUACCAGCUUAAGGUAAUGAAGCUCACCAAUAUCACUUUCAGUAACUCUUGCUUUAUUUCCUAUAAUAUCUCUGACUUCUUGUUGUGCUUUCUUCAUCACUCUUGGAUUCCUAGCCAGCUCAGACAUAGCCCAGAUCAGGACAACUGCACUGGUGUUUGUUCCAGCCAAAAAUAAGUCCUGAUGCAAGAACAUCACAUAAAAAUAAGCAAGUUUGAGUACAGGAUGUAUAAUCUGAGCAAAAACUAAGGUGCAUACCAUGAGAACUGCCUUAAUAUGAUCUUUUGUAAGCUGAAUUGAACCAACUCCUGUUUGCUCUUUCUCUGUUCUUAGCAGCACAUCUAUAAUGUCUUCUUCUCCUUUGUCUGUCCUCCCAUGUCCAAGUUCAAUAUGAUCAUCAAUUACCCUUUUGAAGAAAGUAUCCAAUUCAUGGAAAACUCUUUCUGUCCUUGUAUGAUAACCAGAAACCUUGUCGAAAAUCCAAC